UUAAUUCUGUUUGCCUCGAUGAACAAUUUCCCAUCUGCCAUCUUUAAUUGAAAUCUUUGAUGCUUUCUUCUGAACAUGCCAUCAACCAACCCAAUACCAGGAUUUUGCAGCCAGCUCAGCACCAAUGCCUCAAGGAGUAAAGAAGUGACUGUCAAGAUCCAGCCCAACAGUAGCUGAGUUUGUUUAGCCAACAGACAGAGGAGAAAAGAAAUCACCCCAGACCCUCAAGGUGCCUCUAGAACCACAGAUGGAGCAGGCCUGGCUCCAGGCAGUGACGUCAAGAUUUUCCUAUUUAAGGUCCCAAGGGAUUCCUUCACAAACUCCAUCCAUACAAUCUAGGACAAGGACAAGGAAGCGGGUCUUUCUCUAAGAAGCCAUACAGACAAGGAAGUGUGGGGACAAGUGACCAGUAAAUAGGUGACUUACACUCUCACUUGGCUAGAAGGUUCUACCAGUUCCCAGAAAGAAAUCUGUGGAGCACUUCCCACCCAUCUUCUGCUCACAACUUGGGAGGCUGGUUCUGAUCUCAGAAGCUUUAAUCUCCUAGAGGGAACUCCUGAGCCCAAAUUAUGAAUGGAGAUACAAGUCCUAGAUUCUUGCCUUUAUCAGUAAGAGGAGGAGAUAUAGAGAAGGAUCUCGAGCUGUCUCCCUGCCUGCCAUGAACAAGUCUUAUGGGGAGGGAGAGUCUGGCUCCUCUAGAGUCCAGCUUGGGAAGAGAAUUAGUUUUAUGAUGGACCUAAGGGAUAGGUACCACAUCCAGAUGGAUGGAUGAUUGAGUAAAACUGAUGAG
rnacentral:lncRNA from 1 species